rnacentral:rRNA from 1 species
GGAUGUGAUCAUACCAGCACUAAAGCACCGGAUCCCAUCAGAACUCCAAAGUUAAGCGGGCUUGGGCGAGAGUAGUACUAGGAUGGGUGACCUUCUGGGAAGUCCUCGUGUUGCAUUCC